rnacentral:rRNA from 1 species
AUUGAACGCUGGCGGCAUGCCUUACACAUGCAAGUCGAACGGUAACGCGGGGGCAACCCUGGCGACGAGUGGCGAACGGGUGAGUAAUACAUCGGAACGUACCCAGUAGUGGGGGAUAGCUCGGCGAAAGCCGGAUUAAUACCGCAUACGACCUAUGGGUGAAAGCGGGGGAUCGCAAGACCUCGCGCUAUUGGAGCGGCCGAUGUCGGAUUAGCUAGUUGGUGAGGUAAAGGCNCACCAAGGCUACGAUCCGUAGCUGGUCUGAGAGGACGACCAGCCACACUGGGACUGAGACACGGCCCAGACUCCUACGGGAGGCAGCAGUGGGGAAUUUUGGACAAUGGGCGAAAGCCUGAUCCAGCCAUGCC